rfam:Triticum aestivum genome assembly, contig: Triticum_aestivum_CS42_TGACv1_scaffold_093462_2AL
AUCAUACUCUCUCGGUCCAGAAAUACUUGUCGGAGAAAUGGAUAAAAAUGGAUGUAUCUGGAACUAAAAAAUUUCUAGAUACAUCUAUUUGUCCGACAAGUAUUUCUGGACGGACGGAGUACUUA